UCACACUACCGCUAUCUCUUCAUCUACCCAUCUCCGCUCGCUUGUUUUCCUUGUUUUGCUACCGCGCUUGUUUUGUCGAGGGGUAAAGGCGCUUGGUGAUUUUUGCGGUUGCGACUGUUCUACGUUAAACUACCUUGUUGUUAUCAAAACGACUAAUCUUCCAAAUCAACCUGGAGAAGGGGUUGAAGAAAAUGGGAGCAGUGAAGCGAACAACAGCCCAUCGCAAGAUUUUAGCGCUGCUGAAGGGCUUCAAAUGAGUCUCCACAGAAAUCCCUUGAAUCUGUAUGUUUUUUUAUGAAAAUACAGUUUGCACCUCAA
rnacentral:lncRNA from 1 species